rnacentral:rRNA from 1 species
UACGUAGGUGGCAAGCGUUGUCCGGAAUUAUUGGGCGUAAAGAGCUCGUAGGCGGUCUGUCGCGUCGGUCGUGAAAACCUGCAGCUUAACUGUGGGCGUGCGGUCGAUACGGGCAUGACUGGAGUUCGGCAGGGGAGACUGGAAUUCCUGGUGUAGCGGUGAAAUGCGCAGAUAUCAGGAGGAACACCGGUGGCGAAGGCGGGUCUCUGGGCCGAUACUGACGCUGAGGAGCGAAAGCGUGGGGAGCGAACAGG